CAAAAAAUAGUUUAUGUAAAAUAUUAAUUUUGGAGAUUAAUGAAAUAAGAAUUUAUUUUUUUGA
rnacentral:tRNA from 1 species